AGGUGAUGAGUCUUGGGCAGGCAAAGCAGAACUCUCUCUCUAUAUAAAUAUCGUCGGGGUCGGCGACUUCUAGGGUUUUACGCCUCACUACUCGCCGCCGCUGGGGAGUGACAGAAGUGGGAAAUCGGGGGAGGGAUCGCGCAAUGUUCUCAUCCUUUGCAGGCGUCGGAGAAGAAAUUGUCCAACCCGAUGCGGGAGAUCAAGGUCCAGAAGUUGGUCCUUAACAUAUCUGUAGGAGAAAGCGGCGAUCGCCUUACCCGUGCGGCGAAGAUCUUGAGAAAAUUUUCUGUACUAUAUAGCCAGGUAUACUGUUCGGUCCUUUGGGAUUCGACGCAAUGAAAAGAUUGCUUGUUAUGUGACCGUUAGAGGGGACAAGGCCAUGCAACUCCUAGAGAGUGGCUUGAAAGUGAGAGUACGAGUUAUUGAGGAGGAACUUCAGUGAAACAGGAUUCUUUGGCUUUGGAAUUCAAGAGCACAUCGAUCUUGGAAUCAAGUAUGACACUGAAUAUUCAUUUCGGGAUCGAUAGAUAGUAAUUUUUAUUUUGUUAAAUAAUUUUAUUAUUUUAGUUCUUUCCACUAAGUUGCCUACUUUUAUAUUUUCAUCAGGACAUGUUCCUCGAGAUAUUAUGUUAGUUGCAACUAUUUACUUAAGAACUGUAUGCUCUUAUACAUCCUUGUGCCGCUCCUUGUCCAGAGGCAUAAUUAUUGGAGAACUGUGAUCAAGGGUUGUGAUGAGAAUUGCUUCUUUCUGACACCUCUUGUUUGAGAGGGGUUACUUCAAGUUGGCCCUUCUUUGAGCAGAGUAGCAAAUUUCUGAACCCUAGUUGGAUUGAUGCUUAUGUGUAAUCAAUUCUAUCUUUGGUGCAAUUCAGAAUGCUUUUUAACCCUUUUUUAGUAAAUCAGAAUGCUCUCCGGUUUCUGUGGUUUGCAGUGGGCAGGCAGGGCUAUGAUAGUAAACUUUCUUCUGAUACCACCUGUUUGAGAAGUGGUUUCUUGAGCACCCUUCUGUGACAAGAUUUAUCAAUGAGUUGAGCCCUACCUUGUUGACAAUCUCGUGGUUUCACCGGCGCUAGUAUUAUUCUUUGUGCACUCUUCUUCCACCUGAAGCUAUUUUGCAUUCUGAAACCUUUUGUCACCUAAUGAUUUGCAGUCAAUGACUUUGACAGGUAUAAUCCUUCAACAGGUAUAUAUGGGAUGGACCUCUAUGUGAUGUUGGUGCGAGCUGGUUAGUGGCGUCGCUGCAAGUCUAGUCUCGUGUUGGGAUUCAACACCGGGUCACAAAGGAAGAUGCCAUGAAGUGGUUCCAAGUCAAGUACUAGGGUGUCAUGCUUAACAAACCCCAAGCAAGUACUGCAUCAUAGAUGGUAUUUUCCAGUUCACCGUAUCUUAUGGUGCGUCCUCUCUACUAGAUAUUGUUUGUCCCUAUUAACUAGUUCACCACGGUAUCUGAUGGUGUUGAAUGGUAAGCUUGAAAGUUGACAUUGGUCUUGUUGGGUAAA